rnacentral:rRNA from 1 species
AAUUUUGGACAAUGUGGGAAACCCUGAUCCAGCCAUCCCGCGCGUAUGAUGAAGGCCUUCGGUUUUAAAAUUACUUUUUGCAGAGACGAAAAGGUACCUCCUAAUACUAGGUACUGCUGACGGUAUCUGAAGAAUAAGCACCGGCUAACUACCUGCCAGCAGCCGCGGUAAUACGGAGGGUGCAAGCGUUAAUCGGAAUUACUGGGCGUAAAGCGUGUGUAGGCGGUUCGGAAAGAAAGAUGUGAAAUACCAGGGCUCAACCUUGGAACUGCAUUUUUAACUGCCGAGCUAGAGUAUGUCAGAGGGGGGUAGAAUUCCACGUGUAGCAGUGAAAUGCGUAGAUAUGUGGAAGAAUACCGAUGGCGAAGGCAGCCCCCUGGGAUAAUACUGACGCUCAGACACGAAAGCGUGGGGAGCAAACA